UGAUGGUGGUGUUGGUGGUGGUGGUGAAGAAGACAGAAUGAAGGUGCAGGUGAUGAUGAUGAUACUGGUGUUGGGGAUGGUGAUGGUGAUGAUUGACCACGCACACAGAGCAGAGAAAGGUAGAGGUUUAGGUGAGGACCAUGAGGACGUGCGGGGGCAUGGCACUUGCUGUGCAAUGCUAUCCCUUCAUCUUCCUCAGUCUCUGUUCUCAUAAACAGGCUUAUCUCUCUCCAGUGGAGGCUUGACAAAUGCCAGAGAGCUUCAUUCCACUAAAAUUGAGAGCUUCCUCUCCACCCUUCCCUAUCUCUCUCUCUCUGUCUCCACUUUCUCUCGCCAUCCUUAGCAGUACCACAGAAACCCACCUCUUUUUCCAAUAAAAGUUUUCCAAGGA